GACGACGCUGGCGGCGUGGAUUAGGCAUGCAAGUCGGACGGUAGGGCUUUAUCGUAAGAUAGAGUUUGAGAGUGGCGAACGGGUGAGUAACACGUAGGAAUCUACCCUUAAGACGGGGACAACCCAGGGAAACUUGGGCUAAUACCGGAUGAGAGUGCGAGAGAUUGCAUUUAAAAGGAUGGCGAAAGUUGUCGCUUAGGGAUGAGCCUGCGGUCUAUUAGUUAGUUGGCGGGGUAAAGGCCCACCAAGGCGAUGAUAGAUAGGCGGCCUUAACGGGUGGUCGCCCACACUGGGAUUGAGAUACGGCCCAGACUCCUACGGGAGGCAGCAGUCGAGAAUAGUCUACAAUGGCCGAAAGGCUGAUAGUGCGACGCCGCGUGAACGAAGAAGCCCUUCGGGGUGUAAAGUUCUUUUAUAUGUGAGCAGUGCUUUCUAUGUGAACAGCAUAGUGAGAGAGAUAUUAGCAUAUGAAUAAGCAACGGCUAACUCCGUG
rnacentral:rRNA from 1 species